rnacentral:lncRNA from 1 species
UUUCCUUUAAAUUUACUUUUAAUCUUGGAUUUAACUUUAUCUAGAAUAGUGCUUUUACCCUUGUGUUUACCUGCAUUUUUGGGUGAACUCGCACCGCUCGAUGAAUUUCCACUGACAGGUGAACUUCCACCGCUUGGUGAACCUUCACUCAUUUGUGAGCUUCCGCGACCGGAUGAACUACUCUUACCUUUUAGUUUACUUUUAAUCUUUGAUUUAACUUUAUCUAUGAUACUUUUUUUACCCUUGUGUUUACUUAUGUCCUUAGGUGAACUUGCAUUGCUCGAUGAAUUUUCACUACCAGGUGAAUUUCCACCGCUUGGUGAACUUCCACCACCAGAUGAACCUCUCUUAUCUUUUAGUUUACUUUUAAUCUUUGAUUUUACUUUACCAAGAAUAGUGCUUUUACCCUUGUUUUUACUUUCAUUUUUGGGUGUACUUCCACCGGUAGGUGAACUUCCACUGCUAGCUGAACUUCCACUGCUUGCAGAACUUUUACUCAUUGGUGAGUUUCCUUCAUCGGACGAACCACUCUUACCUUUCAAUUUACUUUUAAUCUUUGAUUUAACUUUAUCUAAGAUAGUGUUUUUACCUUUGGGUUUACCUCCAUCCUUGGAUGAACUUUCACCGCUAGAUAAAUUUUCAUGGCCAUGUGAACUGCCACCACUAGGUGAACCUCCACUCAUUGGUGAGCUUCCACCAUCGGAUGAACUGCUCUUACCUUUCAAUGUACUUUUAAUCUUUGCUUUAACUUUAUCUAAGAUAGUGAUUUUAACCUUGGGUUUACCUCCAACCUUGGGUGAACUUGCACCGCUAGAUGAAUUUCUAUGGCCAGGUGAACUGUCACCGCUAGGGGAACCUCCACUUAUUGGUGAGUUUCCACCACUAGAUGGAACACUCGUUCCUUUAAAUUUUCUUUUAAUCUUGGAUUUAAGUUUAUCUACAAUAGUGUUUUUACCCUUAUGUUUAUCUGCAUUUUUGGGUGAACUCGCACCGCUCGAUGAAUUUCCACUGGCAGGUGAAUUUCCACCGCUUGGUGAACCUUCACUCAUUUGUGAGCUUCCGCUACCGGAUGAACUACUCUUACCUUUUACUUUAUUUUUAAUCUUUGAUUUAACUUUAUCUAUGAUACUUUUUUUACCCUUGUGUUUACUUAUGUCUUUAGGUGAACUUGCAUUGCUCGAUGAAUUUCCACUACCAGGUGAAUUUUCACCGCUUGGUGAACUUCCACCACCAGAUGAAUCACUCUUAUCUUUUAGUUUACUUUUAAUUUUGGAUUUUACUUUAUCGAGAAUAGUGCUUUUACGCUUGUGUUUACUUUCAUUUUUGGGUGUACUUCCACCACCAAGUGAACUUCCACCGCUUGGAGAACUUUCACUCAUUGGUGAGCUUCCACCAUCGGAUGAACCGCUGGAUUUAAUUUUAUCCAUUAAUUUAUUUGUAUCCAUGUGUUCAUUCUUAUGUCUGAGUGAGCUUUUUCUACCUGAUGAACUUCCAUUAUAGGUGAAUUUCAAUCACUGAAUGAACUCAUAGAUGAUUCUCCAUAUGAUCUUGGUGAACCUUCACUCAUUUGUGAGCUUCCGCCACCGGAUGAACUAUUCAUACCUUUCAAUUUACCUUUAAUCUUUGAUUUAACUUUAUCAAAGAUAGUGUUUUUACUCUUGGGUUUAUCUACAUCCUUUGGUGAACUUGCACCGCUAGAUAAAUUUUCUUGGCCAGGUGAACUGCCACCGCUUGGUGAACCUCCACCCAUUGGUGAGCUUCCACCACUAGAUGGACUACUCUUUCCUUUCAAUUUACUUUUAAUCUUGGAUUUAAGUUUAUCUACAAUAGUGCUUUUACCCUUGUGUUUACCUGUAUUUUUGGGUGAACUCGCACCGCUCGAUGAAUUUCCACUAACAGGUGAACUUCCACCGCUUGGUGAACCUUCACUCAUUUGUGAGCUUCCGCCACCGGAUGAACUAUUCUUACCUUUCAGUUUACCUUUAAUCUUUGAUUUAACUUUAUCUAUGAUACUUUUUUUACCCUUAUGUUUACUUAUGUCCUUAGAUGAACUUGCAUUGCUCGAUGAAUUUUCACUACCAGGUGAAUUUCCACCGCUUGGUGAACUUCCACCACCAGAUGAACCGCUCUUACCUUUCAGUUUACUUUUAAUCUUUGAUUUAACUUUAUCUAAGAUAGUGCUUUUAUCCUUGGGUUUACCUCCAUUCAUGGGUGAACUCUCACCGCUAGAUAAAUUUCCAUGGCCAGGUGAACUGCCACCGCUAGGUGAACCUCCACUAAUCGGUGAGCUUCCACCAUCGGAUGAAUUGCUCUUACCUUUAAAUUUACUUUUAAUCUUUGAUUUAACUUUAUCUAAGAUAGUGCUUUUACUCUUGAGUUUACCUCCAUCCUUGGGUGAACUUGCACCGCUAGAUAAAUUUCCUUGGCCAGGUGAACUGCCACCGCUUGGUGAACCUCCACCCAUUGGUGAGCUUCCACCACUAGAUGAACUACUCUUUCCUUUCAAUUUACUUUUAAUCUUGGAUUUAAGUUUAUCUACAAUAGUGCUUUUACCCUUGUGUUUACCUGCAUUUUUGGGUGAACUCGCACCGUUUGAUGAAUUUUCACUGACAGGUGAACUUCCACCGCUUGGUGAACCUUCACUCAUUUGUGAGCUUCCGCCACCGGAUGAACUAUUCUUACCUUUUAGUUUACCUUUAAUCUUUGAUUUAACUUUAUCUAUGAUACUUUUUUUACCCUUAUGUUUACUUAUGUCCUUAGAUGAACUUGCAUUGCUCGAUGAAUUUUCACUACCAGGUGAAUUUCCACCGCUUGGUGAACUUUCACCACCAGAUGAACCGCUCUUAUCUUUUAGUUUACUUUUAAUUUUGGAUUUUACUUUAUCAAGUAUAGUGCUUUUUCCCUUGUGUUUACGUUUAUUUUUGGGUGCACUUCCACCGCCAGGUGAACUUCCACUGCUAGUUGAACUUCCAGCGCUUGGUGAACUUUCACUCAUUGGUGAGCUUCCACCAUCGGGUGAAGCGCUUUUACCUUUCAAUUUACUUUUAAUCUUUGAUUUAACUUUAUCUAAGAUAAUGCUUUUACCCUUGGGUUUACCUCCAUUCUUGGGUGAAUUUUCACCGCUAGAUGAAUUUCCAUGGCCAGGUGAUCUGCCACCGCUAGAUGAACCUCCACUCAUCGGUGAGCUUCCACCAUCGGAUAAACCGCUCUUACCUUUCAAUUUACUUUUAAUCUUUGAUUUAACUUUAUCUAAGAUAGUGCUUUUACUCUUGGGUUUACCUCCAUCCUUGGGUGAACUUGCACCACUAGAUGAAUUUCCUUGGCCAUGUGAACUACCACCGCUUGGUGAACCUCCACUCAUCGGUGAGCUUCCACCACUAGAUGGACUACUCUUUCCUUUCAAUUUACUUUUAAUCUUGGAUUUAAGUUUAUCUACAAUAGUGCUUUUACCCUUGUGUUUACCUGUAUUUUUGGGUGAACUCGCACCGUUUGAUGAAUUUUCACUGACAGGUGAACUUCCACCGCUUGGUGAACCUUCACUCAUUUGUGAGCUUCCGCCACCGAAUGAACUACUCUUACCUUUUAGUUUACUUUUAAUCUUUGAUUUAACUUUAUCUAUGAUACUUUUUUUACCCUUGUGUUUACUUACGUCCUUAG